UACGUAGGGUGCAAGCGUUAAUCGGAAUUACUGGGCGUAAGCGUGCGCAGGCGGUUUUGUAAGUCUGACGUGAAAGCCCCGGGCUUAACCUGGGAAUUGCGUUGGAGACUGCAAGGCUUGAAUCUGGCAGAGGGGGGUAGAAUUCCACGUGUAGCAGUGAAAUGCGUAGAGAUGUGGAGGAACACCGAUGGCGAAGGCAGCCCCCCUGGGUCA
rnacentral:rRNA from 1 species